CAGAGAACUGAGGUUGCAAAGGGAUCCUCCACCUGGAAAUCCAAGGGCACAGAGCUCUCAGGUGCAGAGGAAAUUGUGGUCUCUCCCAAUGGAAGUUCUAACAACCGCAUGGCUGCAGAGGGGCCCAAAGUCCACUUCGUACCAGUGAUAGCCAGACAAUAGAUUUUCUACAAGAAAACAUUACUACUUUUCAACCAUGAAAUCAGAAACUUUUUCAUAAGGAGAA